UGGGGAAUAUUGGACAAUGGGCGAAAGCCUGAUCCAGCCAUGCCGCGUGUGUGAAGAAGGUCUUCGGAUUGUAAAGCACUUUAAGUUGGGAGGAAGGGCAGUAAGCGAAUACCUUGCUGUUUUGACGUUACCGACAGAAUAAGCACCGGCUAACUCUGUGCCAGCAGCCGCGGUAAUACAGAGGGUGCAAGCGUUAAUCGGAAUUACUGGGCGUAAAGCGCGCGUAGGUGGUUCGUUAAGUUGAAUGUGAAAGCCCCGGGCUCAACCUUGGAACUGCAUCCAAAACUGGCGAGCUAGAGUAGGGAAGAGGGUGGUGGAAUUUCCUGUGUAGCGGUGAAAUGCGUAGAUAUAGGAAGGAACACCAGUGGCGAAGGCGACCACCUGGGCUCAUACUGACACUGAGGUGCGAAAGCGUGGGGAGCAAACAGG
rnacentral:rRNA from 1 species